UAUCUGCUUUUUUACUCUCCACAGUUUCAGUUACUUGCAGUCAGUUGUGGUCCAAAAAUAUUAAAUGGAAAAUUCCAGAAAUAGACAAUUCAUAAGUU